GCGGUGGUAGCUCAGUUGGUUAGAGUACCGGCCUGUCACGCCGGGGGUCGCGGGUUCGAGCUCCCGUCCGCCGCGCCA
rnacentral:tRNA from 1 species